AAUACAAUUCCAGAAACCUCGCAACGCUUAUGUCAUGCCAAGAAAAGACUUAGUUUACGAGAAAAUUGCAUCUGACGGGUACGAAUGCCUUUUCGAAAUUCAAAUAUCCCGCUACCCAGCCAGGGAGUGGUGACGUUGCAUACGCCAUCACCACCCGUUGCUGCCGUUGGUGAGUGAAAUGCGACCCGACAGACGGCGGUACCUAGCCAAGACAGGACG
rnacentral:lncRNA from 1 species